CACACAAGUCAAGAUUUUCUAGAAGAUUCCACCAAAGGAUCACGAAAGUAGAGGAACAGCCCUCUCAGCUGUGGUAUUACCAAGCAAACCUGCUGCUGGUUCUCUGCCAGCCAUGCUGUCUGCUUCCAGCCUGGUACUUAUGAUCUUGUUGAUGUUGGGAGGGACCAGUGGAGACUCAGUGAACCAGACAGAAGGCCCUGUUACCCUCCCAGAGGGGAAAACUUUGACACUGAGCUGCACUUACCAGACCACCUACACUGGUACAGAAUAUCUUUUCUGGUAUGUCCAACAUCAAAACAAAGAGCCUGUUCUCCUCCUGAAAAGCUCAUCGGAUAAUCAAGAGGUCCACAACAGAGAUUUUCAGGCCAAACUUGUGAAGACUGAGAAAUCCUUCCACCUGCAGAGACCUUCAGUGCAAAUGGCAGACUCGGCAGUGUACUUCUGUGCUGUGAGUGACACAGUGCGGGAGUGCACAGGGGGAGCUGAGCACAAACCCAGAGGGGCUCACACGGGGCUGCAGGGGAGCAGCCUGGCUAUUCUGGGAGCCACAGGGAGCUUCUCUGGCUGUUCUCAGGGACAUACAUGUAUUUGACAGGGAAGUGGAGACUAUAUUUUCCUAAUACAAACAAAAAUACUUGUUAUGGCAAAUAUGUCUACUAGUUGAAAGUGUAGGACACAGCUUUUUCUGUUCUGCUACAGUGUGUAUCCCAUUAAAACCAUUUUUCCCCAGUUAGGAAAUACAAGUAUGAUGUCAAUA